rnacentral:rRNA from 1 species
GGCUUAACCAUAGAACUGCUUGGGAAACUGAUAAUCUAGAGUGAGGGAGAGGCAGAUGGAAUUGGUGGUGUAGGGGUAAAAUCCGUAGAGAUCACCAGGAAUACCCAUUGCGAAGGCGAUCUGCUGGAACUCAACUGACGCUAAUGCGUGAAAGCGUGGGGAGCAAACAGGAUUAGAUACCCUGGUAGUCCACGCCCUAAACGAUGUAUACUAGUUGUUGCUAAGCUAGUCUUGGCAGUAAUGCACCUAACGGAUUAAGUAUACCGCCUGGGGAGUACGGUCGCAAGAUUAAAACUCAAAGGAAUAGACGGGGACCCGCACAAGCGGUGGAGCAUGUGGUUUAAUUCGAAGAUACGCGAAGAACCUUACCCGGACUUGAUAUCUAACAAAUCAUCUAGAGAUAGAAGAGUGUCUGCUUGCAGAAAUGUUAAGACAGGUGCUGCACGGCUGUCGUCAGCUCGUGUCGUGAGAUGUUGGGUUAAGUCCCGCAACGAGCGCAACCCACGUCAUUAGU